AAAAUUUACAGCUAACGUUAAAUGCAGCUGACUGGAAGGGCUUUCAUCACAAAUGUGGAGAAAACUUUGUGAAAUAUCACAAAUCAAGCCAAGGGAAAGACUUCAGGUCAUUUGUACAACUUGCACCCUUUACAGUUCAUCACGCAGGAUUUAGUAAAGAAAUAGUAAAACUUUGGUGUCUAUUGUCUGAGAUUGUUCAGUUGAGUAACAAAAUGAAAUUGCUGGAAUCGGAACUCACUAGGCUGGGUGAUCUGCAGUACCAAUUUAAUGAAAACAUUUACAAGCAGUUUCCAGAAACAUUGAAAAAACAGAAAAUACACCAUAAUCUCCAUACUGAGCAACAAAUCAGACUUCAUGGGGUCCCUAUA